rnacentral:tRNA from 1 species
GGGAAUUUAGCUCAGUGGUAGAGCGCUUGCCUAGAAAGUGCAAGGUCCUAGGAUCUUCAGGCUCAUGGUUCAGUUUCCA